CCGAAUGGGGAAACCCAGUGUGAUUCGUCACACUAUCAUUAACUGAAUCCAUAGGUUAAUGAGGCGAACCGGGGGAACUGAAACAUCUAAGUACCCCGAGGAAAAGAAAUCAACCGAGAUUCCCCCAGUAGCGGCGAGCGAACGGGGAGGAGCCCAGAGCCUGAAUCAGCAUGUGUGUUAGUGGAAGCGUCUGGAAAGGCGCGCGAUACAGGGUGACAGCCCCGUACACAAAAGCGCAUGUGCUGUGAGCUCGAUGAGUAGGGCGGGACACGUGGUAUCCUGUCUGAAUAUGGGGGGACCAUCCUCCAAGGCUAAAUACUCCUGACUGACCGAUAGUGAACCAGUACCGUGAGGGAAAGGCGAAAAGAACCCCGGCGAGGGGAGUGAAAAAGAACCUGAAACCGUGUACGUACAAGCAGUGGGAGNNNNNNNNNNNNNNNNNNNNNNNNNNNGUUAACCGUAUAGGGGAGCCGGAGGGAAACCGAGUCUUAACCGGGCGUUAAGUUGCAGGGUAUAGACCCGAAACCCGGUGAUCUAGCCAUGGGCAGGUUGAAGGUUGGGUAACACUAACUGGAGGACCGAACCGACUAAUGUUGAAAAAUUAGCGGAUGACCUGUGGCUGGGGGUGAAAGGCCAAUCAAACCGGGAGAUAGCUGGUUCUCCCCGAAAGCUAUUUAGGUAGCGCCUCGUGAAUUCAUCUCCGGGGGUAGAGCACUGUUUCGGCUAGGGGGCCAUCCCGGCUUACCAACCCGAUGCAAACUGCGAAUACCGGAGAAUGUUAUCACGGGAGACACACGGCGGGUGCUAACGUCCGUCGUGAAGAGGGAAACAACCCAGACCGCCAGCUAAGGUCCCAAAGUCAUGGUUAAGUGGGAAACGAUGUGGGAAGGCCCAGACAGCCAGGAUGUUGGCUUAGAAGCAGCCAUCAUUUAAAGAAAGCGUAAUAGCUCACUGGUCGAGUCGGCCUGCGCGGAAGAUGUAACGGGGCUAAACCAUGCACCGAAGCUGCGGCAGCGAACGUAUCACCCAAGACAACUUUACGGAGUUGACGAUUGACGGAGCGAAGCGACGUCAAAGCGUUCAUUAAAGUCGAGUUGGCUUAGGGAUACGUUCGUUGGGUAGGGGAGCGUUCUGUAAGCCUGUGAAGGUGUGUCGUGAGGCAUGCUGGAGGUAUCAGAAGUGCGAAUGCUGACAUAAGUAACGAUAAAGCGGGUGAAAAGCCCGCUCGCCGGAAGACCAAGGGUUCCUGUCCAACGUUAAUCGGGGCAGGGUGAGUCGACCCCUAAGGCGAGGCCGAAAGGCGUAGUCGAUGGGAAACGGGUUAAUAUUCCCGUACUUGGUGUUACUGCGAAGGGGGGACGGAGAAGGCUAUGUUGGCCGGGCGACGGUUGUCCCGGUUUAAGCGUGUAGGUGUGUGUUCCAGGUAAAUCCGGUUCACUUUAACACUGAGGCGUGACGACGAGGCACUACGGUGCUGAAGCAACAAAUGCCCUGCUUCCAGGAAAAGCCUCUAAGCAUCAGGUAACACGAAAUCGUACCCCAAACCGACACAGGUGGUCAGGUAGAGAAUACCAAGGCGCUUGAGAGAACUCGGGUGAAGGAACUAGGCAAAAUGGUGCCGUAACUUCGGGAGAAGGCACGCUGACACGUAGGUGAAGUGAUUUACUCAUGGAGCUGAAGUCAGUCGAAGAUACCAGCUGGCUGCAACUGUUUAUUAAAAACACAGCACUGUGCAAACACGAAAGUGGACGUAUACGGUGUGACGCCUGCCCGGUGCCGGAAGGUUAAUUGAUGGGGUCAGCGCAAGCGAAGCUCCUGAUCGAAGCCCCGGUAAACGGCGGCCGUAACUAUAACGGUCCUAAGGUAGCGAAAUUCCUUGUCGGGUAAGUUCCGACCUGCACGAAUGGCGUAAUGAUGGCCAGGCUGUCUCCACCCGAGACUCAGUGAAAUUGAACUCGCUGUGAAGAUGCAGUGUACCCGCGGCAAGACGGAAAGACCCCGUGAACCUUUACUAUAGCUUGACACUGAACAUUGAGCCUUGAUGUGUAGGAUAGGUGGGAGGCUUUGAAGUGUGGACGCCAGUCUGCAUGGAGCCGACCUUGAAAUACCACCCUUUAAUGUUUGAUGUUCUAACGUGGACCCGUAAUCCGGGUUGCGGACAGUGUCUGGUGGGUAGUUUGACUGGGGCGGUCUCCUCCUAAAGAGUAACGGAGGAGCACGAAGGUUGGCUAAUCCUGGUCGGACAUCAGGAGGUUAGUGCAAUGGCAUAAGCCAGCUUGACUGCGAGCGUGACGGCGCGAGCAGGUGCGAAAGCAGGUCAUAGUGAUCCGGUGGUUCUGAAUGGAAGGGCCAUCGCUCAACGGAUAAAAGGUACUCCGGGGAUAACAGGCUGAUACCGCCCAAGAGUUCAUAUCGACGGCGGUGUUUGGCACCUCGAUGUCGGCUCAUCACAUCCUGGGGCUGAAGUAGGUCCCAAGGGUAUGGCUGUUCGCCAUUUAAAGUGGUACGCGAGCUGGGUUUAGAACGUCGUGAGACAGUUCGGUCCCUAUCUGCCGUGGGCGCUGGAGAACUGAGGGGGGCUGCUCCUAGUACGAGAGGACCGGAGUGGACGCAUCACUGGUGUUCGGGUUGUCAUGCCAAUGGCACUGCCCGGUAGCUAAAUGCGGAAGAGAUAAGUGCUGAAAGCAUCUAAGCACGAAACUUGCCCCGAGAUGAGUUCUCCCUGAGACUUAGAGUCUCCUGAAGGAACGUUGAAGACGACGACGUUGAUAGGCCGGGUGUGUAAGCGCAGCGAUGCGUUGAGCUAACCGGUACUAAUGAACCGUGAGGCUUAACCUUACAACG
rnacentral:rRNA from 1 species